GGAGAGAUGGCUCAGUGGGUAAGAGCACUUGCUCCUGCAGAGGACCUGGGUUCAAUUCCCAGCUCCC
rnacentral:tRNA from 1 species